rnacentral:rRNA from 1 species
GACGAACGCUGGCGGCGUGCUUAACACAUGCAAGUCGAGCGGUAAGGCCCUUUCGGGGGUACACGAGCGGCGAACGGGUGAGUAACACGUGGGUGACCUGCCCUCAGCUCUGGGAUAAGCCUGGGAAACCGGGUCUAAUACCGGAUAUGACUCCAUGACGCAUGUUGUGGGGUGGAAAGCCUUGUGCGGCUGAGGAUGGGCCCGCGGCCUAUCAGCUUGUUGGUGGGGUGAUGGCCUACCAAGGCGACGACGGGUAGCCGGCCUGAGAGGGCGACCGGCCACACUGGGACUGAGACACGGCCCAGACUCCUACGGGAGGCAGCAGUGGGGAAUCUUGCGCAAUGGGCGAAAGCCUGACGCAGCGACGCCGCGUGAGGGAUGACGGCCUGGUGUAACUACUUCUAGCUCCGACGAACGACGACGAGUGACGGUAGGAGGCGAGAAG